UGGAAUGUCGUGAAUUAUGGUC
rnacentral:miRNA from 1 species